CAAUAGCGUAUAUUAAAGUUGUUGCAGUUAAAAAGCUCGUAGUUGGAUUUCUGGUGGGAGCGACCGGUCCGCUCCGCAAGGAGUGUGCACUGGCGUCGUCUCCGGCCAUCCUUGGGAAGAGCUGCUCUGGCAUUAAAUUAUCGGAGUAGGGAUUCCCAUCGUUUACUGUGAGAAAAUUAGAGUGUUCAACGCAGGCUUACGCCUUGAAUAUAUUAGCAUGGAAUAAUGAGAUAGGACCUUGGUUUCUAUUUUGUUGGUUUGCGGGCCAAGGUAAUGAUUAAUAGGGAUAGUUGGGGGUAUUCGUAUUCAAUUGUCAGAGGUGAAAUUCUUGGAUUUAUGGAAGACGAACUACUGCGAAAGCAUUUACCAAGGAUGUUUUCAUUAAUCAAGAACGAAAGUUAGGGGAUCGAAGAUGAUCAGAUACCAU
rnacentral:rRNA from 1 species